ACAUAAACAAACAAACCGACCCCCGCUGCGAUAAAGUGCAGGAGUCGAGAGUCACUAGUAAGGGAUGAGUUUGAUCAGAAGCAGAGCUCUGGGACGUGUGGACAGACUUUCACUGUAAUGAUGGACAUCCGCUGAUGGACAGAGUAAGGGAUGAGUUUGAUCAGAAGCAGAGCUCUGGGACGUGUGGACAGACUUUCACUGUAAUGAUGGACAUCCGCUGAUGGACAGAAGUAUAACCCCUGCUGGACAUCGUGCCGGGGCUCGGGGGGGACCCGAAUCAUCCCCACUCCUUCAUUCACACAACACUCACUCAUAUCACAGAGAUCUGGCUGGGAUCAAACCAGCAACCUCUGAACCACGAGGCAGCGCUCUAACCUGUGAGCCACAGAUCUCUUGUCUGAACAUGUGAAGGCACUUAUAUUUCACUAUUCACCUGCAUGUGAUUUUACAAU